rnacentral:rRNA from 1 species
GACGAACGCUGGCGGCGCGCUUAACACAUGCAAGUCGAGCGAAGCGGCGGACGGGGGAGUAACACGUGAGUAACCUGCCUUAGACAUUGGGAUAGCCUCGGGAAACCGGGAUUAAUACCAAAUGGUCUAAGAUGGACUCGCGUCCCAUUCGCUAGUUGGGAGGUAACGGCCCACCAAGGCGACGAUGGGUAGACGGCAUGUGAGGGUGAACGGCGACAUUGGAACGAGGAAACGGUCGAAACUCUACGGGAGGCAGCAGUGGGGAAUAUUGCACAAUGGAGGGAACUCGGAUGCAGCGACGCCGGGUGAACGAAGAAGGCUUGCGAGUCGUAAAGUGCUUUUAUAUGGGAAGCGGUACCAUAAGAAAAAGCCCCGGCUAACUACGUGCCAGCAGCCGCGGUAAUAC